UUUACAGUGGUGUGAUGGGGUAUCACUGUUGCCUCCACCAUAAAAGGUCCUGGGUUCAAGUCCCAGCUGGGGCG
rnacentral:tRNA from 1 species